CGCAAGCCUGACGGAGCAAGACCGCGUGGGGGGGGAAGGCUCUUGGGUUGUAAACCCCUUUUCUCAGGGAAGAACCAAAUGACGGUACCUGAGGAAUCAGCCUCGGCUAACUCCGUGCCAGCAGCCGCGGUAAUACGGAGGAGGCAAGCGUUAUCCGGAAUGAUUGGGCGUAAAGCGUUCGUAGGUGGCUAUUCAAGUCUGCUGUCAAAGACAGAAGCUCAACUUCUGAAAGGCAGUGGAAACUGAGUAGCUGGAGUGCGGUAGGGGCAGAGGGAAUUCCCGGUGUAGCGGUGAAAUGCGUAGAGAUCGGGAAGAACACCGGUGGCGAAAGCGCUCUGCUGGGCCGCAACUGACACUGAGGGACGAAAGCUAGGGGAGCG
rnacentral:rRNA from 1 species